rnacentral:miRNA from 1 species
GUAUAUCAUGUAUAUAUGUGUGUAUAUUUGUGUGUGUAUGUAUAUGUGUACAUAUAUAUGCAUAUAUAUACAUAUAUAUAUAAAAA